CGCGCGAGCCGACCUGCGCUGAGAGGAUGUGGUCCGCCGAGGUUCAGCACGAGCGGGGAGGCAGAGGGACAGCAGGAGGAGGAAGCUAAAGCAGAGGGCGCGGGUCAUCGUGACUGAGAGGAGGGGGCCUGCAGAUACCCCUUGUGACUAAAACUACCAUGCAUAAAGACUGAGUGAGUAUUUCCUCAAACAGCCCAGUCAGACGGGACCCUGAGCGGCAUGGUUAUUGAAUGGACCAACGCUGACAUCCUCUGGACAAAAAAUGUCAGUGAUGGUGUAACUGGGUGGCAGGAUGGUGGUCCCUCCCUGACUGGUAAACCCGAACAGGAAGAGCAGACCCCCUAUUAGCUGGGCCAAAUCAGAGGGAUCUUCAAGGUCGACAGGGAGAGGUAAGAAAAAAAAAAAAGUAAAAAGGGGCGUUAAGGUUAAAAAUAUAAAUAUCAUUGCUGUGUGACAUCGUUCCAUUAUAAAGUGUGUUGCAUAUCAGAUUAAUUAAACUAGACUAGACAGGUGUCCCUACCUGUGUGUCAAUACUUAACAGCUCAGUGGGGGUGUAUGCUAGAGAGAGUGAGUUACAGGACUCUUGGAGGGCUCACAGGGCUGAGAGUAUCUGAGCGAAGCAGCUCUCUGUGGCAGAGCUCUCUCCCUUACUCUCUCUCUCUCUCUCUCUCUCUCCCUCUCCACCUCUCUAAUUACGCCAACCAAGUCGGCUCUGCCCUUACCCACAAUCUGUGGAGGCAUGAAAUAAAUACACGCUCUCCAACAAUAAACAAGUGCCUUUUCAAACGACAGCACCUCCUCAUGCUCACCCCCACUGCCGUCUCUACAGGCUUUUAUAAUGCUUUUACUUUCAUACUGGCUACAGUAGCAUGUAGGCACAAACUGUAUAGAGGACAUUCUAUAAAGUUUGCAGGACUUCUGUUGAUAGAGGUUGAUCUCAGUAGAUUGAGCAUCAAAGGCCAUCUUUGCCUUAACCUGAAGGAAUAAUAUAAGGUAAAAAUUAUAUAAAAUAGGGUUAAAAUGUAGUGUUGGCAUUAUAUACCCUAACAAACCCAGUAUCAGGGUUAUUUUCUAAACUUUAUAGACUUUAUACAAUUGUUUUCACAGGCUGAUUCUUACUCACUUUGAUGAGUAAUCUAAACUGCAUGUGUAAAAUCAGUGAAGUGUCCCUUUUAAUUUUUCAGCAUCAAGCGAUCUCCCACUUGCAUGGACUUUACAUGCACUCACAGAUGGCAUCAGGUCUCAGUUUCUCUCUAUUCAAAAUGUCAUCUGUGGCAUAAUGGUUGCUUUUUCCCACACAUCUUCAGUAAUGUUAAGUCAUGUCUCCAUCUCCCACUGGUCUGGGUGGUUACAGAUUCCCUAAUUCAACUUUCAUGCUGGCCACACAAGUGUCUGCUUCCAGUGAUGACAGGGUUACCAUACCCCCCCACCACCACCACCAAACCAAACAGACACAGAGAGAGGCACACACACACACACACACACACACACACACACACACACACACACACACACACACACACACACACACACACACACACACACACACACACACACACACACACACACACACUAAAGGGCCUGGCCUGCUUUUAUUUACUUCUUCAAGGUUUUGAGCAUGAGGAAUGAUAUAGAGCAAUGUCUUGAUUUCUGAAGAUCAAAAAAAGAUAAAUGUACAGUGGGGUCCAAAAGUCAUUGCAUAUGCUGGUUAAGUUGCUGACAUAUUUCAGUGAAAAUUUU